CCUACGGGUGGCAGCAGUGGGGGAUAUUGCACAAUGGGGGAAACCCUGCUGCAGCGACGCCGCGUGUGGGAAGACGGUCCUCUGGCUUGUAAACCACUGUCCCCAGGGACGAAGAUGACGGUACCUGGGGAGGAAGCUCCAGCUAACUACGUGCCAGCAGCCGCGGUAAUACGUAGGGGGCGAGCGUUGUCCGGAAUUACUGGGUGUAACGGGAGCGUAGGCGGGACUGCAAGUUGGGUGUCAAAUCUACCGGCUCAACCGGUAGCCGCACUCAAAACUGCAGUUCUUGAGUGAAGUAGAGGCAGGCGGAAUGCCUAGUUUAGCGGUGAAAUGCGUAGAUAUUAGGAGGAACACCAGUGGCGAAGGCGGCCUGCUGGGCUUUUACUGACGCUGAGGCUCGAAAGUGUGGGGAGCAAACAGGAUUAGAUACCCCUGUAGUC
rnacentral:rRNA from 1 species